rnacentral:rRNA from 1 species
AGAAGCACCGGCUAACUCCGUGCCAGCAGCCGCGGUAAUACGGAGGGUGCCGAGCGUUAAUCGCGGAAUUACUGGGGCGUAAAGCGCAUGCAGGUGGUUUGUUAAGUCAGAUGUGAAAGCCCGGGGCUCAACCUCGGAAUUGCAUUUGAAACUGGCAGACUAGAGUACUGUAGAGGGGGGUAGAAUUUCAGGUGUAGCGGUGAAAUGCGUAGAGAUCUGAAGGAAUACCGGUGGCGAAGGCGGCCCCUGGACAGAUACUGACACUCAGAUGCGAAAGCGUGGGGAGCAAACAGGAUUAGAUACCCUGGUAGUCCACGCCGUAAACGAUGUCUACUUGGAGGUUGUGGCCUUGAGCCGUGGCUUUCGGAGCUAACGCGUUAAGUAGACCGCCUGGGGAGUACGGUCGCAAGAUUAAAACUCAAAUGAAUUGACGGGGGCCCGCACAAGCGGUGGAGCAUGUGGUUUAAUUCGAUGCAACGCGAAGAACCUUACCUACUCUUGACAUCCAGAGAACUUUCCAGAGAUGGAUUGGUGCCUUCGGGAACUCUGAGACAGGUGCUGCAUGGCUGUCGUCAGCUCGUGUUGUGAAAUGUUGGGUUAAGUCCCGCAACGAGCGCAACCCUUAUCCUUGUUUGCCAGCGAGUAAUGUCGGGAACUCCAGGGAGACUGCCGGUGAUAAACCGGAGGAAGGUGGGGACGACGUCAAGUCAUCAUGGCCCUUACGAGUAGGGCUACACACGUGCUACAAUGGCGCAUACAGAGGGCGGCCAACUUGCGAAAGUGAGCGAAUCCCAAAAAGUGCGUCGUAGUCCGGAUUGGAGUCUGCAACUCGACUCCAUGAAGUCGGAAUCGCUAGUAAUCGUGGAUCAGAAUGCCACGGUGAAUACGUUCCCGGGCCUUGUACACACCGCCCGUCACACCAUGGGAGUGGGCUGCAAAAGAAGUAGGUAGUUUAACCUUCGGGGGGACGCUUACCACUUUGUGGUUCAUGACUGGGGUGAAGUCGUAACAAGGUAGCGCUAGGGGAACCUGGCGCUGGAUCACCU